AGAGUUUGAUCCUGGCUCAGGAUGAACGCUAGCGGCAGGCUUAAUACAUGCAAGUCGAGGGGCAGCAGUCCCGCAGCAAUGCGGGAGCUGGCGACCGGCAAACGGGUGCGGAACACGUACGCAACCUUCCUUUAAGUGGGGAAUAGCCCAGGGAAACUUGGAUUAAUACCUCGUAAUAUUUGAGAGUGGCAUCACUCUUUAAUUAUAGCUCCGGCGCUUAAAGAUGGGCGUGCGACUGAUUAGGUAGUUGGCGGGGUAACGGCCCACCAAGCCUGCGAUCAGUAACUGGUGUGAGAGCACGACCAGUCACACGGGCACUGAGACACGGGCCCGACUCCUACGGGAGGCAGCAGUAAGGAAUAUUGGUCAAUGGACGCAAGUCUGAACCAGCCAUGCCGCGUGGAGGAUGAAGGUCCUCUGGAUUGUAAACUUCUUUUAUCUGGGAAGAAACCCACAUUAUCCAGUGUGGUUGACGGUACCAGAUGAAUAAGCACCGGCUAACUCCGUGCCAGCAGCCGCGGUAAUACGGAGGGUGCAAGCGUUAUCCGGAUUCACUGGGUUUAAAGGGUGCGUAGGCGGGUUGGUAAGUCCGUGGUGAAAUCCCCCAAGCUUAACUUGGGAACUGCCGUGGAUACUAUCAAUCUUGAAUAUCGUGGAGGUAAGCGGAAUAUGUCAUGUAGCGGUGAAAUGCUUAGAUAUGACAUAGAACACCAAUUGCGAAGGCAGCUCGUUACACGAAGAUUGACUCUGAGGCACGAAAGCGUGGGGAUCAAACAGGAUUAGAUACCCUGGUAGUCCAC
rnacentral:rRNA from 1 species